rnacentral:tRNA from 1 species
GGCUCGUUGGUCUAGGGAGUAUGAUUCUCGCAUUGGGUUUGAGAGGGAGCGGGUUCGAAUCCCGGACGAGCCC